rnacentral:misc_RNA from 1 species
UUGCGUAGAAAUCCGUCAAUUCUGUCUAAAUAUUUUUUGAUAAUCUUCAAUGCAAACUUGAAUCAAAUUAAGCCACUUUCCAUCCUUUUGUAACCCUAAUUUAUUGAUUGCAGCUCCAUAUUUAGCUUCUUGUGUAACUGCUUCCUCAAUCAAUUCUUGCAUCUUCUUAACUCUAAUCCUUGUGAAUUGAGUUUCUUGUACAAUUGCAUCUUCAAUCAUCUCACGAACAUUCCUAGGGUCUUGUUGUUCUUGUUGAUUUCCAACAGAUAUCAAUCUUUUUGCUGAGAAUGUUAAAGUCUUUAAUAAGGAAGGUAUCCCUCUUGCUGCUAGGCUUGUUAAUUUUUUUGAAAACAAGAAGGUUUUGGUUGUUGAGAAUGUUUCAGUUAAAGAAGAAAAUAUAAGUGUUUUUGAAGAAAUAAAAUGUGAAAGAAGGGACUAGAAUCUUGUUGGUAGUUUAUUAGGGUUGAGAUACUGCAAUCAUAUAAUGCUCAAGGAGAAUACUUCUGAAAUCAGGAGAAGACAGAAGAAAAGAAUGUGUUUUUUUGUCAAGGGAUAAGUCAGGUAUUGAAACUGUUUGUGAAAAUGUCAAAGUGAUUUGCAAAGGUACCAUGAGCUUUGAUAAGAAGUAUUCUAAGAUGGGUAUCUUUUCUAUUUGCGAAAAUAUGAAUUAAUUUGGGAAUGGGAAUCAUAUUUGUGGCUGGACAUCAAAUGGUAUUGUGAUCUUG